ACGAACGCUGGCGGCGUGCCUAAUACAUGCAAGUCGAACGCUUCUUUUUCCACCGGAGCUUGCUCCACCGGAAAAAGAGGAGUGGCGAACGGGUGAGUAACACGUGGGUAACCUGCCCAUCAGAAGGGGAUAACACUUGGAAACAGGUGCUAAUACCGUAUAACAAUCGAAACCGCAUGGUUUUGAUUUGAAAGGCGCUUUCGGGUGUCGCUGAUGGAUGGACCCGCGGUGCAUUAGCUAGUUGGUGAGGUAACGGCUCACCAAGGCGACGAUGCAUAGCCGACCUGAGAGGGUGGUCGGCCACAUUGGGACUGAGACACGGCCCAAACUCCUACGGGAGGCAGCAGUAGGGAAUCUUCGGCAAUGGACGAAAGUCUGACCGAGCAACGCCGCGUGAGUGAAGAAGGUUUUCGGAUCGUAAAACUCUGUUGUUAGAGAAGAACAAGGAUGAGAGUAACUGUUCAUCCCUUGACGGUAUCUAACCAGAAAGCCACGGCUAACUACGUGCCAGCAGCCGCGGUAAUACGUAGGUGGCAAGCGUUGUCCGGAUUUAUUGGGCGUAAAGCGAGCGCAGGCGGUUUCUUAAGUCUGAUGUGAAAGCCCCCGGCUCAACCGGGGAGGGUCAUUGGAAACUGGGAGACUUGAGUGCAGAAGAGGAGAGUGGAAUUCCAUGUGUAGCGGUGAAAUGCGUAGAUAUAUGGAGGAACACCAGUGGCGAAGGCGGCUCUCUGGUCUGUAACUGACGCUGAGGCUCGAAAGCGUGGGGAGCAAACAGGAUUAGAUACCCUGGUAGUCCACGCCGUAAACGAUGAGUGCUAAGUGUUGGAGGGUUUCCGCCCUUCAGUGCUGCAGCUAACGCAUUAAGCACUCCGCCUGGGGAGUACGACCGCAAGGUUGAAACUCAAAGGAAUUGACGGGGGCCCGCACAAGCGGUGGAGCAUGUGGUUUAAUUCGAAGCAACGCGAAGAACCUUACCAGGUCUUGACAUCCUUUGACCACUCUAGAGAUAGAGCUUCCCCUUCGGGGGCAAAGUGACAGGUGGUGCAUGGUUGUCGUCAGCUCGUGUCGUGAGAUGUUGGGUUAAGUCCCGCAACGAGCGCAACCCUUAUUGUUAGUUGCCAUCAUUUAGUUGGGCACUCUAGCAAGACUGCCGGUGACAAACCGGAGGAAGGUGGGGAUGACGUCAAAUCAUCAUGCCCCUUAUGACCUGGGCUACACACGUGCUACAAUGGGAAGUACAACGAGUCGCAAAGUCGCGAGGCUAAGCUAAUCUCUUAAAGCUUCUCUCAGUUCGGAUUGUAGGCUGCAACUCGCCUACAUGAAGCCGGAAUCGCUAGUAAUCGCGGAUCAGCACGCCGCGGUGAAUACGUUCCCGGGCCUUGUACACACCGCCCGUCACACCACGAGAGUUUGUAACACCCGAAGUCGGUGAGGUAACCUUUUGGAGCCAGCCGCCUAAGGUGGGAUAGAUGAUUGGGGUG
rnacentral:rRNA from 1 species